rnacentral:antisense_RNA from 1 species
ACAAUGCGCAGGCAAUCCACAGCAGCUGCCCCUGCAAAUGUCAGCGCUAGCCCAGUCAAAAGAGCUUGAAACCUACCAAGCCGGAGGACUGUGCUGUGCCUCUCUCGCCCACAUUUUCCCCAAGCACUCUCAGGAACCUGGCAACAGAUGGAUAUCUGAGAGCGAGCGAACUUUCUUUACCUCCUAGUAUCAUUUCAUGAGAAUUAGUAGCAUCUGCACAAUGGGGCCUUGGAGACAGGAAUAAAAGGAAAAAUCUGGAAUGGAAUCACAUGACGCAACAGGCUCUGAAGACUCCCUGCCCGGCUGCCGUAUGUCUGGUAAACAGAAUAAAUAGCACUUGAGCA